rnacentral:rRNA from 1 species
CCUACGGGAGGCUGCAGUGGGGAAUAUUGCACAAUGGGGGAAACCCUGAUGCAGCGACGCCGCGUGAGUGAAGAAGUAUUUCGGUAUGUAAAGCUCUAUCAGCAGGGAAGAAAAUGACGGUACCUGAUCAAGAAGCCCCGGCUAACUACGUGCCAGCAGCCGCGGUAAUACGUAGGGGGCAAGCGUUAUCCGGAUUUACUGGGUGUAAAGGGAGCGUAGACGGGUGGACAAGUCAGGAGUGAAAUGCCGGGGCUUAACCUCGGAACUGUAUUGGAAACUGGGAAGCUUGAGUACAGGUGAGGUAAGUGGAAUUCCUGGUGUAGCGGUGAAAUGCGUAGAUAUUACGAGGAACACCGGUGGCGAAGGCAGCUUACUAAACUGUAACUGACGUUGAGGCUCGAAAGCGUGGGUAGCAAACAGGAUUAGAUACCCGGGUAGUC